rnacentral:rRNA from 1 species
GAACGAGGAAGUCCGCAAGGAUGAGUACAGUGGCGUACGGGUGAGUAACACGUGGAUAAUCUACCCUCUAGUGGGGAAUACCGUUGGGAAACCGACGACAAUACCGCAUAAGCUCGAGAGAGGAAAGCAGCAAUGCGCUGGAGGAGGAGUCCGCGGCUGAUUAGCUAGUUGGUGAGGUAACGGCUCACCAAGGCUGAGAUCAGUAGCCGGCCUGAGAGGGCACACGGCCACACUGGCACUGAAACACGGGCCAGACUCCUACGGGAGGCAGCAGUGGGGAAUCUUGCACAAUGGGGGAAACCCUGAUGCAGCGACGCCGCGUGAGCGAUGAAGCCCUUCGGGGUGUAAAGCUCUUUCGGCAGGGAAGAUGAUGACGGUACCUGCAGAAGCAGCUGCGGCUAACUACGUG